UACGUAGGGUGCAAGCGUUGUCCGGAAUUAUUGGGCGUAAAGAGCUCGUAGGCGGUUUGUCGCGUCGGCUGUGAAAACCUGGGGCUCAACCCCGGGCCUGCAGCCGAUACGGGCAAACUAGAAUUCGGUAGGGGAGACUGGAAUUCCUGGUGUAGCGGUGAAAUGCGCAGAUAUCAGGAGGAACACCGAUGGCGAAGGCAGCCUCCUGGGCCAACACUGACGCUCAUGCACGAAAGCGUGGGGAGCAAACAGG
rnacentral:rRNA from 1 species